rnacentral:rRNA from 1 species
ACUCCUACGGGAGGCAGCAGUGGGGAAUAUUGCACAAUGGGCGCAAGCCUGAUGCAGCCAUGCCGCGUGUGUGAAGAAGGCCUUCGGGUUGUAAAGCACUUUCAGUCGUGAGGAAGGUAGUGUAGUUAAUAGCUGCAUUAUUUGACGUUAGCGACAGAAGAAGCACCGGCUAACUCCGUGCCAGCAGCCGCGGUAAUACGGAGGGUGCGAGCGUUAAUCGGAAUUACUGGGCGUAAAGCGCAUGCAGGUGGUUGUUAAGUCAGAUGUGAAAGCCCGGGGCUCAACCUCGGAAUAGCAUUUGAAACUGGCAGACUAGAGUACUGUAGAGGGGGUAGAAUUUCAGGUGUAGCGGUGAAAUGCGUAGAGAUCUGAAGGAAUACCGGUGGCGAAGGCGGCCCCUGGACAGAUACUGACACUCAGAUGCGAAAGCGUGGGAGCAAACAGGAUUAGAUACCCCUGGUAGCGACUGA